rnacentral:rRNA from 1 species
UACGUAGGGAGCGAGCGUUGUCCGGAUUCAUUGGGCGUAAAGAGCUCGUAGGCGGCUUGGUAAGUCGGAUGUGAAACCUCCAGGCUCAACCUGGAGUCGCCAUCCGAUACUGCCAUGGCUAGAGUCCGGUAGGGGCCCACGGAAUUCCUGGUGUAGCGGUGAAAUGCGCAGAUAUCAGGAGGAACACCGGUGGUGAAGGCGGUGGGCUGGGCCGGCACUGACGCUGAGGAGCGAAAGCGUGGGGAGCGAACAGG